AGACGUGACUUGCUCCUCCUUGCCUUCAUCAUGAUUGUGAGGCUUCUCCAGCAACGUGGAACUGAAGUGACGGCAGCCCUGUGACUGUUAACCCGGAAAACUGCGAGAGGCUUUCCCAUGGAGGGGUCCUCACACCUGGGUUCACCCCUGCCGGAAGACACUGCUGCAUUGUGUGCAGCAGCUGCAAGGCCUGCGUGAUGGAAGGCGAGAGCCCCUGGCCGGCUGCCCUGAUGGAGAGACCAAGGAGCUGAGGCGCUAAGGAGAUGACCUAAGGUUGCAAAGUGAAAAGCAAGGCCAAGGAGGGGCUUCAUUUCAAAUACCAGAUGCGGGGCCGGCCCUCCAUCCACUCCUCGGAACGCGGCACUCCGCGGCCUCCCGGGUAGACGGUCUCCACCACUACUUGCUUCUGUUCAUCUCUGACGGCAGAGUUAAAUAAAAUUAAUACUAUUAUUG
rnacentral:lncRNA from 1 species